rnacentral:tRNA from 3 species
CCGCCACUAGCUCGGCAGGAUAGAGCAGCAGCCUUGUUGGUGCGAGGUUCAAAUCCCCGGUGGCGGACCA